GGAAGGAUCAUUAUUGAAAUAAACCUGAUGGGUUGUUGCUGGCUCUCUAGGGAGCAUGUGCACACCUUGUCAUCUUUAUAUCUCCACCUGUGCACUUUUUGUAGACCUUUCAGGUCUAUGUUGCUUCAUUUACCCCAAUGUAUGUUAAUAGAAUGUUGUGCCUAUAUAAUAUAUACAACUUUCAGCAACGGAUCUCUUGGCUCUCGCAUCGAUGAAGAACGCAGCGAAAUGCGAUAAGUAAUGUGAAUUGCAGAAUUCAGUGAAUCAUCGAAUCUUUGAACGCACCUUGCGCUCCUUGGUAUUCCGAGGAGCAUGCCUGUUUGAGUGUCAUUAAUAUAUCAACCUUCUCUUUUUUGAGUUGUUUGGAUGUGGGGGUUUGCUGGCCUCUUAAAUGAUUCAGCUCCCCUGAAAUGCAUUAGCAGAACAACCUGUUCAUUGGCGUGAUAAUUAUCUAUGCUAUUGAAUGUGAGGGCAGUUCAGCUUUCUAACCGUCCUUGGACAAUUCAUCAUUAAUGUGACCUCAAAUCAGGUAGGACUACCCGCUGAACUUAAGCAUAUCAAUAAGCGGAGGAAAAGAAACUAACAAGGAUUCCCCUAGUAACUGCGAGUGAAGCGGGAAAAGCUCAAAUUUAAAAUCUGGCGGUCUUUUGGCUGUCCGAGUUGUAAUCUAGAGAAGUGUUAUCCGCGCUGGACCGUGUACAAGUCUCCUGGAAUGGAGCAUCAUAGAGGGUGAGAAUCCCGUCUUUGACAUGGACUGCCAGGGCUUUGUGAUGCGCUCUCAAAGAGUCGAGUUGUUUGGGAAUGCAGCUCAAAAUGGGUGGUAAAUUCCAUCUAAAGCUAAAUAUUGGCGAGAGACCGAUAGCG
rnacentral:rRNA from 1 species